AUGAGGAAAGGAUUAUUCGCCAACAAGGAUGAAUAUCUCUUCUUUGGAGAAGAAAAUAGGCUGAAAAUGUUUCAGCCAAAUACAUUCAAUUUUAAGCCAAAAUCCCAUAUUAAGCUCGAUGAAGCUCAAAGAUGCAUAUUGGAUAACUUUUGGUUCCAAUAUACUCGCAAAAGAGAGGAACAAGGAUAUUUUUUAUCAAUUCUCAACAGUUUGGCUGAAUAUUUUAAUGAAUUAAACAAAAAUGUGCCAAAGCCAGCAAAAGUUGAAAUACCAAAAGGAGAAACUCUAUAUCUUAUAUUUGAUGGAAACAAACCUGGCAUAUAUUUGGAAUGGGAGAAUAUUAUGAUUGAAAAAUUAGAUGCAAAAAGAAAUGGACAAGAUUUAACAUUCAAAAGAUAUUACAGUAUAGAUGAGGCCUUACUUUGGGCAAGGAAGGUAUUAGGACCAGAUUAUUAUAUUGACCCAAAGGCUAAAAACUAUAUCCAAAUGAAAAGAGGCAUACCUGCUUCACCAACUCCCACAAAGGGGGAGGCAUCAAGCUCAAACAAUAUAAAGAAAGAAGAAUCCCCAAAAUAUAAGACAUAUCAAGAAUGCCUUCUAAGUGAAAAAAUAACUUUUGCUGGCUUUGGUAUAUUCAUCAUCUAA
rnacentral:rRNA from 1 species